GCUUACGACCACACCGGCCUGAGUACGCCUGAUCUCGUCUGAUCUCGGAAGCUAAGCAGGGUCGGGCCUGGUUAGGGAUGGGAGACUUCCUGGGAAUACCAGGUGCUGUAAGCU
ensembl:rRNA 5S_rRNA 5S ribosomal RNA